GAUGAACGCUGGCGGCGUGCCUAAUACAUGCAAGUCGAGCGAACAGACGAGGAGCUUGCUCCCCUGACGUUAGCGGCGGACGGGUGAGUAACACGUGGAUAACCUACCUAUAAGACUGGGAUAACUUCGGGAAACCGGAGCUAAUACCGGAUAAUAUAUUGAACCGCAUGGUUCAAUAGUGGAAGACGGUUUUGCUGUCACUUAUAGAUGGAUCCGCGCCGCAUUAGCUAGUUGGUAAGGUAACGGCUUACCAAGGCGACGAUGCGUAGCCGACCUGAGAGGGUGAUCGGCCACACUGGAACUGAGACACGGUCCAGACUCCUACGGGAGGCAGCAGUAGGGAAUCUUCCGCAAUGGGCGAAAGCCUGACGGAGCAACGCCGCGUGAGUGAUGAAGGUCUUCGGAUCGUAAAACUCUGUUAUUAGGGAAGAACAAAUGUGUAAGUAACUAUGCACGUCUUGACGGUACCUAAUCAGAAAGCCACGGCUAACUACGUG
rnacentral:rRNA from 1 species